ensembl:lincRNA
AUGUCUACGACCGCCUGUGUUCAGCGUGCUCGGAAGGAGCUCAACUUACCCAUCUUCUCCCAAGGGUUCUGCCAGCCUGAGACUCUGGAGCAUGAUGACAGUGCCAGUGUGGCUCCUGCCUUUGAUCCCGAGCCGGUCACCGCCCACUGCUUCAAGCAGUUCAAGCAGGAGGACUUCUGCCUGCUGCAGAGCCGCCGGCGGGUCCUCAUCGUGCCUGCCCAGCAGGGGCAGCCAGCCAUGGAUCCCAAGCCCCGGCCUCCACCACUCCCACCAUGGGCCCCCAGUGUCAGAGUCCUGGGUGCUGGGGACAUCCCCGAGCAGAGGGAGGACAGGGCGUCCUGGCUGCACCAGAGGGCAAAGCUGCGGAAGGAGCUGGAGGCCCUGGGGGACAUGACGCGGUGGCUGGAGAACAAGCCCAGCAUCACCCCCUCGGAGGCCAAGAUCCUGCGCAUGCUCCACGAGGAGCAGAAGGCCCAGCUCAUGGGGGAGGUGACCAUCACCACAGCCACCAAGAAAAGAGCCCCCCGACGAGUGGUGCCCCAGCUACGGCUGCCCAAGCCACCGGCCCUGUCAGCCCUGUACACCUACCUGCGCAGCCGCAAGAUCCAGGUGCUGGAGCUGUUUGCCAAGGGCCUGGGCACACAGCAGAGAGUCCCCCGGGAGGAGUUCCUCACUGCGCUGAGGAUGGUUGGGGUCCCCCUGAAGGAGCAGGAGAUGGAGGACGUGGUGAUCUACCUGAGCUCCCUCGGGAAGCACCGCGACAUCACCAUGGAGACCCUGGCCAGUACCUACAAGCAGUGGUCUCUGGCCCAGCUGAGGAGCACGACGGUGCCCACGCUGCACAAGUGCUUUGGCCCGGCCCAGGUCACGACAACCCCGCAGCCCUGCAGGAAGCACCUGCUCAUGGUGCCCGAGGUCCCUGUGCCUACGGAGGCGCGGCCCCUGACGCUGGAGGAGAUGGAGGAUGUGGGCAAGCACUACCGCGAGCGCAGGCGGCAGCAGAAGAAAAAUCAUGCUGGUCAUUGUGGCCCAUGCCUGUAAUCUCAGCACUUCCGAGUCUGAGUCAGGUGGAUUGCUGUGAGCUGGAGGCCAGCCUGAAGUACGGAGCAAGACCAUACCUCAAAAAACCAAAAUAAAAUAAAACAGCCAGUUGUGGUACCAUGUAUCUGUGAUUCCAGCUACUUGAGAGGCUGAGGCAGGAGGAUCUUAGUGAUUGUCUGAAAUGCAAAAACAGAAAAGCCUAGGGUAUAGCUCUGUGGGAGAGAGCCUGGGAUUCCAUCCCCAGCACCACAAAAAAGGGGAAGAAGGAGGGGAGGCAGCAAAGGCCCAGGAGACCUCAGCAGCCCCUGCCCGUGUCUCUUCAGCUCCCCAUCCCCUCCAUCCAGUACACAGAGAGCUGCCGCAUGGUGCGCAGUGGGGACCAGCGCGUGGACCAGCACUGCCUGCCAUCCACAGUGGUGGGUGAGAGCCGGGAGCUGCUGGAUGCAGCCCGCAUGGAUGGCUUCCUGCUCUACAUGCGCUGUGGGCAGCAGUGUGUGGCCCCAGGCCUGCCAGUGACCAAGGAUGUCCUCACCCGUG